rnacentral:tRNA from 1 species
UGACGCUGUGGCCGCCGGUAGGGCAUAGGUUUGCAAAACCGAAGUUGAGGGUUCGAAUCCCUCCAGUGUCAU